rnacentral:rRNA from 1 species
CCUACGGGAGGCAGCAGUGGGGAAUAUUGGACAAUGGGGGCAACCCUGAUCCAGCCAUGCCGCGUGAGUGAUGAAGGCCCUAGGGUUGUAAAGCUCUUUCGGCGGGGACGAUAAUGACGGUACCCGCAGAAGAAGCCCCGGCUAACUUCGUGCCAGCAGCCGCGGUAAUACGAAGGGGGCUAGCGUUGCUCGGAAUCACUGGGCGUAAAGCGCACGUAGGCGGAUCUUUAAGUCAGGGGUGAAAUCCCAAGGCUCAACCUUGGAACUGCCUUUGAUACUGGGGAUCUCGAGUCCGGAAGGAGGUGAGUGGAACUGCGAGUGUAGAGGUAGAAAUUCGUAGAUAUUCGCAAGAACACCAGUGGCGAAGGCGGCUCACUGGUCCGGCACUGACGCUGAGGUGACGAAAGCGGUGGGGAGACAAACAGGAUUAGAUACCCUGGUAGUCCACGCCGUAAACGAUGGAUGCUAGCCGUUGGACAGCUUGCUGUUCAGUGGCGCAGGUUAACCCUUUAAGCAUCCCGCCGUGGGGAGUACGGUCGCAAGAAUUAAAACUACAAAUGAAUUGACGG